rnacentral:rRNA from 1 species
GAUGAACGCUGACAGAAUGCUUAACACAUGCAAGUCGAUGGGGAAGUGGUGCUUGCACCAUGGUAACCAUGGCGGACGGGUGAGUAACGCGUAAGGAACUUGCCUGCGGGACUGGGAUAACAGCAGGAAACUGCUGAUAAUACCGGAUAAGGUCAUUAAGCUGCAUAGCUUAGUGAUGAAAGGAGACGCCUGCGGAGAGCCUUGCGUCCUAUUAGCUAGUUGGAGGGGUAACGGCCCACCAAGGCGAAGAUAGGUAGCCGGCCUGAGAGGGUGGACGGCCACAAGGGGACUGAGAUACGGCCCUUACUCCUACGGGAGGCAGCAGUGGGGAAUAUUGGACAAUGGGGGCAACCCUGAUCCAGCAAUUCUGUGUGCACGAAGACGGUUUUCGGAUUGUAAAGUGCUUUCAGCAGGGAAGAAGGAAGUGACGGUACCUGCAGAAGAAGCGACGGCUAAAUACGUGCCAGCAGCCGCGGUAAUACGUAUGUCGCGAGCGUUAUCCGGAAUUAUUGGGCAUAAAGGGCAUCUAGGCGGCCUUUCAAGUCAGGGGUGAAAACCUGCGGCUCAACCGCAGGCCUGCCUUUGAAACUGAUAGGCUGGAGUACCGGAGAGGUGGACGGAACUGCACGAGUAGAGGUGAAAUUCGUAGAUAUGCGCAGGAAUGCCGAUGAUGAAGAUAGUUCACUGGACGGUAACUGACGCUGAAGUGCGAAAGCCGGGGGAGCGAACAGG